UCCGGUGUAGCUCAAUGGUAGAGUAGCGGCCUGUUAAGCCGUGGGUUGUAGGUUCGAGUCCUACCACCGGAG
rnacentral:tRNA from 1 species